UAAUAAAAGUUGAAUAUUUUUAUGUGCUGUAGUGGUAUUUUAUAUGAAGUCGAAACGUUUUAUAUGGUGUAGAAAAACCUUGUGUUUGAUGAGUUAAUGUAUAGUACAUUAUUGAUUCAAGAGGUAUAUCGUUUGAUUAAAGUGGUUGGAUUUGGUUAUGGAAUUACGGUCUCUCGGUGAGAUCAGUUAGUGUAUUGAAUGAAUGGUGAGAGGCUUCCAUAUGGGGGGUUAUCCCUAACACUCCAAUGGUCUUUCAUUCUCACUUAGAGAGGAUUGAUGUGUGUGGUGGGAGUAGUGGGAGGUCCUAGGGUAGGCGCUAUCACUGGAGGUCUAUUCCGCGGUAACGGACUAGCCUUGUGUGUGGUCGGGUGAAACCCCUCGGCAAUGGCUUUGCAAAGCAGUAGG
rnacentral:lncRNA from 1 species